AGCCCAUUAUCUUUCUUUCUAUCUCACUCUCUGGAAUCAUCCUUCUCUUUUCGUUUCUAUCUCUCUACAUCGUCAUGCAUCGCCAGUCACUGGGAUCGCCCAACUCGAAGCUCCAGAUCCAUGGCGAGAUCGCCGGAGGUGGUUCCGCUGUUGAUGAGGAGACCGACGAGACCAAGACGGAGAAGAUGGCACGAUUUUGCUCCAAAUCCGAGAGAUCCAUCCAUCUGAUACCUCUCCUCACUCUCUUCUGCCUUCUCGUCCUCUACUUCUUCUCCCACGACCCAUCUCCUUCAGAUUUACCAUCCAUCGGCGGCGGCGAAGUUAGGGUUCUCGAUCCCAAAGUGGUUCUCAGCGGUGAGGGGCGGAGCCAUCGCGGUCUCAAGGCGGCGACGAAGCCCGGCCGCCGCCAUAGGAAGCUUGGAGGGGUUCUCUAACUCUCACACGUGUGCUCGUCUGUCGGUUGUAUUAGCACGUGCGUAUCACACGCGCCGCAGGCAUUUGAGGGACACUGACAUCCUGGCGCCAGCUGUUGUACAGCUGGCCGCAUUAAUCGCAUGGCGAUCUCACCGAGGGAGGAGCGCACGGGUGGUCCCUUUGUGUCUGUUGAUUCGCAGGGAUGCUUUAACGUGCUCUACUUAAAAAUAAAUAUUGCCAAAAUAAAAUCCAGAGUCAAGGCUCAAAAGCAGCAAAAGCAUGGUUUAUUUCAAUAGUGAUUGAUGAGUUGUAUGAUAAGAAAGCAUGCUUACUUAAGUUGCUUUAUUUAAUAGUGUUGUUCAUAUUGAUGAUUCCAAACUCCAAAGUGAUAGAUAGAUAGAAAGAGAGGAAAGUGUCUCUGUAGCUGGCCCAUUCUUAAACACAACCAACUCCGUUGUUUGGCAAUUCUUUAGGUAUAUAAACAGCAUUAUAAUCAUGAUGUUGUUGUUUAGA